AGAGUUUGAUCCUGGCUCAGGAUGAACGCUAGCGGCAGGCUUAACACAUGCAAGUCGAGGGGCAGCGGGAUGUAGCAAUACAUUGCCGGCGACCGGCGCACGGGUGCGUAACGCGUAUGCAACCUACCAUAUACAGGGGAAUAACCUUUCGAAAGGGAGACUAAUACCCCAUGGUAUUACUCUCAGGCAUCUGACUGUAAUUAAAGAUUUAUUGGUAUAUGAUGGGCAUGCGUGCCAUUAGUUAGUUGGUGAGGUAACGGCUCACCAAGACAACGAUGGCUAGGGGUUCUGAGAGGAAGACCCCCCACACUGGUACUGAGACACGGACCAGACUCCUACGGGAGGCAGCAGUGAGGAAUAUUGGUCAAUGGACGGAAGUCUGAACCAGCCAUGCCGCGUGCAGGAAGACGGCCCUACGGGUUGUAAACUGCUUUUAUGUGAGAAUAACCCUAGUCUUGCGAGAUUAGCUGAAGGUAUCACAUGAAUAAGGAUCGGCUAACUCCGUGCCAGCAGCCGCGGUAAUACGGAGGAUUCGAGCGUUAUCCGGAUUUAUUGGGUUUAAAGGGUGCGUAGGCGGGCUAAUAAGUCAGUGGUGAAAUCACUCAGCUUAACUGAGUAACUGCCAUUGAUACUGUUAGUCUAGAAUAUAAAUGGUGCAGGCGGAAUGAAUCAUGUAGAGGUGACAUUCAUAGAUAUGAUUCAGAACACCGAUCGCGAAGGCAGCUUGCAAAGAUAUUAUUGACGCUGAGGCACGAAAGCGUGGGUAGCGAACAGGAUUAGAUACCCUGGUAGUCCACGCUGU
rnacentral:rRNA from 1 species